CGUGUAGGCGGCUGGGUAAGUCAGAUGUGAAAGUCCCGGGCUCAACCCGGGAUGUGCAUUUGAUACUGCUCAGCUAGAGUAAGGGAGAGGAAAGUGGAAUUCCUGGUGUAGGGGUGAAAUUCGUAGAUAUCAGGAGGAACACCGGUGGCGAAGGCGGCUUUCUGGCCCUAUACUGACGCUGAGACGCGAAAGCGUGGGUAGCAAACAGGAUUAGAUACCCUGGUAGUCC
rnacentral:rRNA from 1 species